UGGGGAAUAUUGGACAAUGGGCGCAAGCCUGAUCCAGCCAUGCCGCGUGAGUGACGAAGGUCUUCGGAUUGUAAAGCUCUUUUAGCGGGGAAGAUAAUGACGGUAACUGCAGAAUAAGCCCCGGCUAACUUCGUGCCAGCAGCCGCGGUAAUACGAAGGGGGCUAGCGUUGUUCGGAAUUACUGGGCGUAAAGCGCACGUAGGCGGAUUGAUAAGUUAGAGGUGAAAUCCCGGAGCUCAACUUCGGAACUGCCUUUGAUACUGGCAAUCUCGAGUCCGGAAGAGGUUAGUGGAAUUCCCAGUGUAGAGGUGAAAUUCGUAGAUAUUGGGAAGAACACCAGUGGCGAAGGCGGCUAACUGGUCCGGUACUGACGCUGAGGUGCGAAAGCGUGGGGAGCAAACAGGAUUAGAUACCCCCGUAGUCCCUGAGCGGGCUGGCAAGGCGCAU
rnacentral:rRNA from 1 species